rnacentral:rRNA from 1 species
UACGGGGGGUGCGAGUGUUGUCCGGAUUCACUGGGCGUAAAGGGCGCGUAGGCGGCCGGGUCAGUCGGGCCUGUAAGUGCGGGGCUCAACCCCGUGAUGGCGUCGGGACGGCCCGGCUGGGGCGCGGUCGAGGGAGACGGAAUGCCGGGUGUAGUGGUGAAAUGCGUAGAGAUCCGGCGGAACACCGGUGGUGAAGACGGUCUCCUGGGCCGAGGGCCGACGCUGAGGCGCGAGAGCGUGGGGAGCGAACCGG